rnacentral:lncRNA from 11 species
GUGGAAAUGCCCUAUGUAACCCUAGAGUGCAUUUGAGGAAAAAUGUUACCUGUUCAUGUAUCCUAUGGGUCACAAAAAGUCCUGAGGGAUUGGGGGAGCUUGUAGCCUGUGAACCACAUUUUGUAACUCCCUGAAAUAGGGGCAGAUUUUGUAACUCCCUGAAAUAGGGGCAGAUUUCAGAUUCAUAUUAAUCCUCCUGGAAAGGUGAUUUUACAGGUUUUUUUCUGUCUCUCAGCCUUUGUUUCUUCCAUUCUGAAGUUUUAUUCUGCUCCACCUACCUCCAUCUUCAUAGCUAACAGCAUUUGCGCUUGGGGGAAAAUUACUGUCUUCUAAAAAAGGCUCCGGCUAAGGGUCUGAAAAAAGGGGAAAAGCUGUGAUUAUAGGGAUUGUUGCUUGGCUCAGCAGCAAAAUACCAUUCCUCAGCCCGCUUCAGUGCAGGGAAAAGAAAAUCCUCAUAUAAAUGUACGACUGUCAACUGCAAAAUCGUGUCUGAGUCACAGGAGGAUGUUUUGAUCUAAGAGGAGAGCAUGUCGGGGAGAACACGACCAAAUGCAAGAGUAUGACAAGAAAGAGGAGGUUUCAGAGGCAUAAAUGAACGGCAAGUGAGCCCCUUGGUAUUUGGGAGUCAGGAUUCCCUCGGCUCGCGAGGAUUAAUUCGCAAUGCAUUAGCAUCAGUGCCGAGAGCUUAAGGUCACUUGCUGGAAAGAUUUUAAUUAAAGCCGUGAUCAAUUCUGUCAGCGUGCUAACAAAGCACAUUCUGUUCUCUUCCUGCAGAAGCCACGUUCCAUCACCCACAAAGAAGUGUUGCAAGGACUUGGAAGACUUUUCAAAGAGGAGAGGGAGUCUGGUGCUCUCCAGAUGUUGUGGAUUAAAACAGUCCGGAUCACUCCAUGUGGUCACGGUGUGGGAAGUGAAGAUCAAGUAUAAAACACCUACAGUGACCAUAUUAAUGAAAUGUAAUACUGCACAGUUAUUCUUGAAAGUAGACUUGGUAAAGUCAAGUAGACUUGACUGAUUCAAUUUCCAUAUAUCCCUGUAUGUUUCUAGAAAUAAAUUGUUUUUUGGUUUACGAUAUGACAUUCUACUGUUUGUUCCAUAAUGAGUGAUUUAUCAUUAUAUAUUCCUAGUCCCAUUGGGAUAAUGUUAAUCUAAAGUUACUAAAAGGUAAUAUAGCCUUGUUAGUCUUAAAGUCUGCUUGUAAACAUACAUACUCCGAAGAAAUUGUUUCCCAGUGUGUCCAGGAAAAUAUCCUACGGAUUCAUUAUGUAUGUUGAGCUGUUAUGUUGAAGUUACUAUGAGCAUGAGCUUUCAUGAACUGCAUCUUUCUUAAAUGAGUUUGAGAAAACCGUGGUACAAAAACAGAAAAAGGAUUGUAUGGAUUCACUCCAGUCUUAGAUGGCUCCUUUGGUCUGAUUCACACUGUAGAAAAAAUGAGGGAGUGAUAGCACUGACAUUCAAUGAAAAGUGUCAAAACGAAUACAAUAAUGCUUCCCUUGAUGUUUUACAAUCUUGCCCUGGAUGUUUCUGAAUGAAUGUAAAGAACUGAUUUAAUAGGAUAUCUAGUUUCAAUAUUUGCCUUUAAGGAAUAAAUAAAAUCAGCACAGCAUAGCUGAGAUCCACCUGGUCGCUCACUGUACCUGUCCCCAAAUAUCAUAGUCAAAUUGGCAGUAUUUAAGCUAAGCAUUCUCCCUAGAUAGGAAUCAGGAUACUUGGAAGCUUCCUGAUUCCUUAUUUAUUCAUUUCUUCUCAGUGUCUCUUUCGGUACUGCAUUCAUGUGGAUUCCUCUGUGGCUUCUGUUGUGACAAUCUGGAACAAGUAGGGUGUGAUGAAAUGCUAUGAUCCAUAUUGUCAGAUUCCAUUCUCCAGAGUGGUAUCCAUUACUCUAUUACAGCAAAAGCAAUAAAGCAUCUUCUGGCACUUUAAAGACUAGAAGAUUUAUGUGCCAGCACUAGCUUUUUUGGACAAGAAUUCGCUUGGUGAGAUGCAGGAUAUUUAACCCUGAAUUUAAUUUCAGACCCUUUUCUCUUCCUAGCUGGUUUUUUUUGGGGGAUUUGAAAUAUAUGACAUUGAGUCAAUGAGAAAAGAGGAAGCAUUCCUUAAAAGCAGUUACUGUUUCAGCAAUUACAUUUCAAAAACCAUGUCCCCAACGUCCAAUAUUUUUUUAUAGAUACUAAUGUCCCUAAGAAUUUACCAUCUGCAGUAAGAAAAAUUAAAAAGUUUAACAAGACAUGUGGCUUCCUGAGUUAAUAGUUUUAGUACAUUAUCCUCCCUUGUCAUUAUUAUCCCCAUUGCGGGGUCUGCCAGUUAGAGUCACUUGUAAAAUGAUGUGGUUGCCUCACACAGUGGCUCUUGGGAGUCAUGAAAGGAUAGCGCAUUGUGUAUUAUUGUUGCUGUUUUAGUUUUACUUCCAGGAAAGGAGAAAGGUGCUUGUAAGAUUUUAUGUCUCAUGUACUGAAAUAACUUGCCUGGCUAUAAUGUACCUGAAAAAUGACACUACCUUCAGCCAACUUAGGAUAAUUCUGUUGCUUGGUAGGUAUCCUGAGAUCAGAGAAUCCAUGCUCAUUGUUUUAUUUUGUCUCACACUGCAGGAAAGGAUAUAUCAGCAGCAACUGAAUCUUUUCUAAGACUUUUGGUCAGUGACUGUUGUACUGAAGUAUCAAUAAUUUCUGAAGACUUAAAAAUAACUCUGAAGGCCUCACAAUAGGAUGAAACACAUCAGACAUUUUGAAAAUAAAACAUCACUUCAU